CACUUUCGCACUCUUUCCAACACCUUUCUCAGUUAUUUUCGCCAUUGUGGAUUUACUUGUCCUCAGCACACUGAUUUGAUGCAUCUUUCAAUUCUUGCAAGAGGUGAACAAAUAGCAGCUGACCGGUGUAAAAGCUGCUGUUCACUCUACCACUGCCCGCUGUGUCCUUCAUUAAAGGCAACUAAAUUCAGCAAGUUUAAGAAACACUUGGAAGUACACAUCCAAAAUUCCAUUUCGUUUGAAGAUAAAACGAUAUGCAGAUGCAAUCUGGAAUGCAGGAACUCAGGACAUUUCCAUUGCCCUUUCUGUCCGAAGACUGUACUAAAAAAAAGUGACAUGGCCAAACACUUGGUGGCUUGUCAAAAGAGAAGUCUGAAUACAUCUGCCUUGGCUCCUGGGACCACGAUGAAUCCACUCCCAUCUACCCUAGUUGCACUGACAUCCUCACCCCUAAAGACAGUAUCCCCCUUUCCAGUCAUCAGCG